UUCGCCCUUAGAGUUUGAUCCUGGCUCAGGACGAACGCUGGCGGCGUGCCUAACACAUGCAAGUCGAACGGGACUUAGUGGAAUGCGAUUUCGGUCAAAGGAAACUAAGUUUAGUGGCGAACGGGUGAGUAACGCGUGAGAAACCUGCCUCUCAGUGGGGACAACAGUUGGAAACGACUGCUAAUACCGCAUAACAUGUUUUAACCGCAUGGUUUAAACAUCAAAGCUUAAUGUGCUGAGAGAUGGUCUCGCGUCUGAUUAGCUAGUUGGUGGGGUAACGGCCCACCAAGGCGACGAUCAGUAGCCGGUCUGAGAGGAUGAACGGCCACAUUGGGACUGAGAUACGGCCCAGACUCCUACGGGAGGCAGCAGUGGGGAAUAUUGGGCAAUGGGGGAAACCCUGACCCAGCAACGCCGCGUGAAGGAAGAAGGCUUUCGGGUUGUAAACUUCUUUUACCAGGGACGAAGGACGUGACGGUACCUGGAGAAAAAGCAACGGCUAACUACGUGCCAGCAGCCGCGGUAAUACGUAGGUUGCAAGCGUUGUCCGGAAUUACUGGGUGUAAAGGGCGUGUAGGCGGAGAUGCAAGUUGGGAGUGAAAUCCAUGGGCUCAACCCAUGAACUGCUUUCAAAACUGCAUCCCUUGAGUAUCGGAGAGGCAAGCGGAAUUCCUAGUGUAGCGGUGAAAUGCGUAGAUAUUAGGAGGAACACCAGUGGCGAAGGCGGCUUGCUGGACGACAACUGACGCUGAGGCGCGAAAGCGUGGGGAGCAAACAGGAUUAGAUACCCUGGUAGUCCACGCUGUAAACGACGAAUACUAGGUGUGGGGGGACUGACCCCCUCCGUGCCGCAGUUAACACAAUAAGUAUUCCACCUGGGGAGUACGACCGCAAGGUUGAAACUCAAAGGAAUUGACGGGGGCCCGCACAAGCAGUGGAUUAUGUGGUUUAAUUCGACGCAACGCGAAGAACCUUACCAGGAUUUGACAUCCAACUAACGAAGUAGAGAUACAUUAGGUGCCCUUCGGGGAAAGUUGAGACAGGUGGUGCAUGGUUGUCGUCAGCUCGUGUCGUGAGAUGUUGGGUUAAGUCCCGCAACGAGCGCAACCCCUAUUGUUAGUUGCUACGCAAGAGCACUCUAGCGAGACUGCCGUUGACAAAACGGAGGAAGGCGGGGACGACGUCAAAUCAUCAUGCCCCUUAUGUCCUGGGCUACACACGUAAUACAAUGGCCGUCAACAAAGGGAAGCAAUACUGCGAAGUGGAGCAAAUCCCCAAAAACGGUCUCAGUUCGGAUUGCAGGCUGCAACUCGCCUGCAUGAAGUUGGAUUCGCUAGUAAUCGCGCAUCAGCCAUGGCGCGGUGAAUACGUUCCCGGGCCUUGCACACAACGGCCGUCA
rnacentral:rRNA from 1 species